CGCGCAGGCGGCUGCUCAAGUCAGGCGUGAAAGGCCUGGGCUCAACCCGGGAAUUGCGCUUGAGACUGGGCUGGCUUGAGUGCGGGAGAGGAUGGUGGAAUUCCCAGUGUAGAGGUGAAAUUCGUAGAUAUUGGGAAGAACACCGGUGGCGAAGGCGGCCAUCUGGACCGCAACUGACGCUGAGGCGCGAAAGCGUGGGAGCAAACA
rnacentral:rRNA from 1 species